CAUCAGUUUUUUAAAAUGACUACCUUGCUCUUUCCCUGUGGGGACCCCGUGUGCAAUGGAUGCAAACAGUAGCCUCCUUGGUAGUGAAUGCAGCCUGUUGACUGUAUGGGUUGCCCUAAGGGACCUUGGAGACAGCC
rfam:Ailuropoda melanoleuca scaffold265_16, whole genome shotgun sequence.